CCGACGCGGCGGCAGCUAACACAUACAGUCGAACGGAUCCUUCGGGAUUAGUGGCGGACGGGUGAGUGGGAACGUGCCCUUUGGUUCGGAACAACUCAGGGAAACUUGAGCUAAUACCGGAUGUGCCCUUCGGGGGAAAGAUUUAUCGCCAUUGGAGCGGCCCGCGUCUGAUUAGCUAGUUGGUGGGGUAAAGGCCCACCAACGCGACGAUCAGUAGCUGGUCUGAGAGGAUGAUCAGCCACAUUGGGACUGAGACACGGCCCAAACUCCUACGGGAGGCAGCAGUGGGGAAUCUUGCGCAAUGGGCGAAAGCCUGACGCAGCCAUGCCGCGUGAAUGAUGAAGGUCUAGGAUGUAAAUCUUUCCCGGGGACAUAUGCGGUCCCGAAAAACCCGGCUACUCGUGCAGCACCGGGUAUAUCAAAGGGGUACGUUGUCCAAAUUCUGGCGUAAGGGAACGUAG
rnacentral:rRNA from 1 species